rnacentral:rRNA from 1 species
UACGGGGGGGGCAAGCGUUGUUCGGAAUUACUGGGCGUAAAGGGCUCGUAGGCGGCCAACUAAGUCAGACGUGAAAUCCCUCGGCUUAACCGGGGAACUGCGUCUGAUACUGGAUGGCUUGAGGUUGGGAGAGGGAUGCGGAAUUCCUGGUGUAGCGGUGAAAUGCGCAGAUAUCAGGAGGAACACCGGUGGCGAAGGCGGGUCUCUGGGCCGAUACUGACGCUGAGGAGCGAAAGCGUGGGGAGCGAACAGG